rnacentral:rRNA from 1 species
UACGUAGGGGGCAAGCGUUGUCCGGAUUUAUUGGGCGUAAAGAGCGUGUAGGCGGCUUUACAGGUCCGUUGUGAAAACUCGAGGCUCAACCUCGAGACGCCGGUGGAAACCGUAAGGCUAGAGUCCGGAAGAAGAGAGUGGAAUUCCUGGUGUAGCGGUGAAAUGCGCAGAUAUCAGGAAGAACACCCGUGGCGAAGGCGGCUCUCUGGGACGGUACUGACGCUGAGACGCGAAAGCGUGGGGAGCGAACAGG